UUUAAAGAACGGAAUUAUAUAAUCAGUGAGCAGCUGUUAUUACCUUAUUAUUUGGUGACUGGCAGGUUUUUUUUAAGGCAUGUAGUUUUUGUGUGAUUUUAAUCUCCAUCAAUUUAUUUAUUACUAUGCUUAGAGAUUUCAACUAUUAAAGACAUUUUCAUCCUGAUGCAAUUUCUCAGGGGUCAAUGGUCAAGUGUCAUCAAUGUCAUGCCAUCUUUAGUCUUCAUACUGUGAACUACAUACACACAUACAUAUAUUUCUUUACUUUGACAAAAAGUAAAAUUUCAAAUUUUGCAACCAGUUGUUUCAGAUGACUUAGAGUGACCCAGCUUUGUGUGUGCAAAAAAAUCAAAGGGCUAAGCAGCUCUUAUCAACCCCAGCAGAAGUUAUAAAUUACAGUUUCAAGGUUACUGCGACAAGCAAAUCUGGGAGAUGCUGGGGGUCCCCCCAACCCCCGCCUUGAAAACUCUGGCUCGUGCUCCAAUCAAAAUGAAGACGCUCCAACAGCAAGCCAAUCCCCUCCUUUCUAGAGCUCCCUUCCUCUCUCCUUACAGCCUGCGUCUUUGAAAGGGAAUUCACAGAAAGCUUUCUGUUCUCCUCUUUUGUAAGCUUGAAAGACAACACACACCAAACUCAAAAGCGCUCUCAUUGUCAAACCGGACAGGCCAGCGUGGCAUCUGCUCUCCGGUCUACUUGACAGACAGACGCUAAAAGUAAAACAGGACACCAU
rnacentral:lncRNA from 1 species